rnacentral:misc_RNA from 1 species
AAUUUGGACCAAGUGUAGCUCGUUCGUAAUACAUUAGCCUCUCAAUUGCGAAACUCGGAUUGACUCAGCGUGAUAGACUAUUCGCCGAGGACACUUGUAAAAAAGUGGCCGAAUUAGCUGACUUAGAAGCUUCUAAUACCCCAUUAGUCAAAACUAUAAGAUUAGACCUCAGAUCAGGCAGGAUUACCCGCUGAACUUAA